GUCCCUGUAGCGCAAUUUAUAGCGCGUUGGACUUCUAAUCGAAAGGUCAUGGCUUCGAAUCCGUCAUGGGAUA